UGGGGAAUCUUGGACAAUGGGCGCAAGCCUGAUCCAGCCAUGCCGCGUGAGUGAAGAAGGCCUUCGGGUUGUAAAGCUCUUUUACCAGGGACGAUAAUGACGGUACCUGGAGAAUAAGCUCCGGCUAACUCCGUGCCAGCAGCCGCGGUAAUACGGAGGGAGCUAGCGUUGUUCGGAAUUACUGGGCGUAAAGCGUACGUAGGCGGUGACUUAAGUCAGGGGUGAAAGCCCGAGGCUCAACCUCGGAAUUGCCUCUGAUACUGGCUGUCUAGAGUUCGAGAGAGGUGAGUGGAAUUCCUAGUGUAGAGGUGAAAUUCGUAGAUAUUAGGAAGAACACCGGUGGCGAAGGCGGCUCACUGGCUCGAUACUGACACUGAGGUGCGAAAGCGUGGGGAGCAAACAGGAUUAGAUACCCCGGUAGUCCCUGAGCGGGCUGGCAAGGCGCAU
rnacentral:rRNA from 1 species